CCUACGGGAGGCAGCAGUGGGGAAUAUUGCGCAAUGGGCGAAAGCCUGACGCAGCGACGCCGCGUGAGGGAUGAAGGUCUUCGGAUCGUAAACCUCUGUCAGCAGGGAAGAACGGUCACUGUGCUAAUCAGCAGUGAAUUGACGGUACCUGCAAAGGAAGCACCGGCUAACUCCGUGCCAGCAGCCGCGGUAAUACGGAGGGUGCGAGCGUUAAUCGGAAUUACUGGGCGUAAAGCGCUCGUAGUCGGUAGGUCAAGUCAAGGGUGAAAUCCCCGCGCUCAACGUGGGAACUGCCUUUGAAACUGGCAAACUGGAGUGUGUGAGAGGAUAGUGGAAUGCCAGGUGUAGGAGUGAAAGCCGUAGAUAUCUGGAGGAACAUCAGUGGCGAAGGCGACUAUCUGGCACAUAACUGACGCUGAGGAGCGAAAGCGUGGGUAGCAAACAGGAUUAGAUACCCGGGUAGUC
rnacentral:rRNA from 1 species